ACCGUGAUGAUUAUGUCGAGAGUG
rnacentral:siRNA from 1 species